CACAUGUCAAAGAAAAAUAAAUAUGGCUGUUUGUUAAUUAUUUUCUAUGUAUUUUCUUCAUUAUUCAUUUUUCUCAUGAAGAUUAUGAUUCCCUACAGGUUACAGUUACUUUUUAUUUACGCUUAGUAUUGUGCUUAAAUGUGAUCUCAGUGCAAUCAUUUAUUGCCUAAAGAUACCUAAAUUCAGCGAUGUAAAUGCCUAAAUUGAACUAACUUCGAGUGAGAGUUCAGAGGCAGUGUUCUGUGUUGUUUCUGGGCGUAAAAACACGUCCAAUUUACUCAAAGUGUGAUUUACAAACACAACAAUAAACUGCAAGUAGAUGUGCAUUUCUCCGCAAAAAUUCCCAAGGAGUUGACCACUGGAACCCAACGUGCUCUGCUCUAUGGUACUUCAUCGUAUGGCUAUGUGCUUCAUAUGGCGCACGGAGUUUGAGAGCCACACAAUUGACUGACAAAGGUUUAGGCCAUAGUCCACCAUGCUGCCCAAGUGCUGAUUGGCAGACUUCACUCACCUUUGAGAACAAUAUGGUGAACUCACAGGUCAAAGCUGCACAAGUCUUCAGCAAACAGGUAUCUGCGACCUUCACAAAUAAGAUGGGGGCAUAUGAAGAGCUGCAAUUAGUACAUAACCACUACAUUGUUUUCUAUCUGUUAACAUUGAUAGUGGCUUCUUCACUGCUGAGAUCACCUUUUUCAUAAACAAUUUGUUUGACAGCAUGCCUGUGCCUGUUAUACUAGAGGCGAAAUAUCACAUGCUUUAUCCUUGAAUUCAACUCAUUUAGAGUAACUCAUUAAGAGUAUGGAAAUAAUGCAUUGAAGAAACUAUCAUCAUAAUAGAUAGAAUCAUUGAAGAAACUAUAAUCAUUUUAAGACGCUUGAGGUUCAAGAGAAAUUAAGCCAAUCUCAUUACAAAAUUUUAUUCAUGACAUAAAAACAGUUAAGCAUCUUUGGUCAAACUAAAAAAAAAGCUAAACCAGGACCCCGGGAUUUGUAGUAUCACUAUUUUUUGCAGUAUUAUUAUCAUAAUUGUAGUUAGUUUUAACUUUUAAUUUUUAUCCCCUUCAGGAAGCCAUUAUUGUAGUUAUUUAUUGAUUGCCAUUCAUUUAUCACAAAUGUACUGAGAAGGGAUGUCCAUUUUUAAAAAUGAUGUUAUUGUUUGUUAUAUCGAUUAUCUAGGUCUACAAUAUAGAUUUUUUUAAUUUGAGUUUUGUUACUCUGAAUUGUUUAUUAUUAUUUUUAGAGCCUAUUUUUACUGUGAAUAAUAUUAUCUUUAUUUUUACCGCAUUUAUGAUUUUUUAACCUUCUCAAAUACGGAGAAAUUAAUAACACGUUUUAAUGUAGGUACUUACAUAAUUCGAAGAAAAAUAGUCUUAUCCAACCUGAACUCAAAAUAUAUUAUUAUCGAACUAAAAUUAUAGUCGUUUCCCUUUAUUUAUUCCCCCUGCAAUAAGGCUGAAGUACCUGGAACCACCACCUUAAGCCAGGAAUAUACCUGUUGGUGAGAAGAGAAAGAGAGGUCGGCCAGCUAAAUCUAAAAAAGCUUUGUUGAUUCAAUACUUUUUUCUUUUGUUAGUUUUUUAUAAAUUUUCUGUGAUUGACUGAUUAUAACUAUUGUGUUCCAUAAAGUGUG